rnacentral:rRNA from 1 species
AGCGGCGAGCGAACGGGGAGCAGCCCAGAGCCUGAAUCAGUGUGUGUGUUAGUGGAAGCGUCUGGAAAGGCGCGCGAUACAGGGUGACAGCCCCGUACACAAAAAUGCACAUGCUGUGAGCUCGAUGAGUAGGGCGGGACACGUGGUAUCCUGUCUGAAUAUGGGGGGACCAUCCUCCAAGGCUAAAUACUCCUGACUGACCGAUAGUGAACCAGUACCGUGAGGGAAAGGCGAAAAGAACCCCGGCGAGGGGAGUGAAAAAGAACCUGAAACCGUGUACGUACAAGCAGUGGGAGCACGCUUAGGCGUGUGACUGCGUACCUUUUGUAUAAUGGGUCAGCGACUUAUAUUCUGUAGCAAGGUUAACCGAAUAGGGGAGCCGAAGGGAAACCGAGUCUUAACUGGGCGUUAAGUUGCAGGGUAUAGACCCGAAACCCGGUGAUCUAGCCAUGGGCAGGUUGAAGGUUGGGUAACACUAACUGGAGGACCGAACCGACUAAUGUUGAAAAAUUAGCGGAUGACUUGUGGCUGGGGGUGAAAGGCCAAUCAAACCGGGAGAUAGCUGGUUCUCCCCGAAAGCUAUUUAGGUAGCGCCUCGUGAAUUCAUCUCCGGGGGUAGAGCACUGUUUCGGCAAGGGGGUCAUCCCGACUUACCAACCCGAUGCAAACUGCGAAUACCGGAGAAUGUUAUCACGGGAGACACACGGCGGGUGCUAACGUCCGUCGUGAAGAGGGAAACAACCCAGACCGCCAGCUAAGGUCCCAAAGUCAUGGUUAAGUGGGAAACGAUGUGGGAAGGCCCAGACAGCCAGGAUGUUGGCUUAGAAGCAGCCAUCAUUUAAAGAAAGCGUAAUAGCUCACUGGUCGAGUCGGCCUGCGCGGAAGAUGUAACGGGGCUAAACCAUGCACCGAAGCUGCGGCAGCGACGCUUAUGCGUUGUUGGGUAGGGGAGCGUUCUGUAAGCCUGCGAAGGUGUGCUGUGAGGCAUGCUGGAGGUAUCAGAAGUGCGAAUGCUGACAUAAGUAACGAUAAAGCGGGUGAAAAGCCCGCUCGCCGGAAGACCAAGGGUUCCUGUCCAACGUUAAUCGGGGCAGGGUGAGUCGACCCCUAAGGCGAGGCCGAAAGGCGUAGUCGAUGGGAAACAGGUUAAUAUUCCUGUACUUGGUGUUACUGCGAAGGGGGGACGGAGAAGGCUAUGUUGGCCGGGCGACGGUUGUCCCGGUUUAAGCGUGUAGGCUGGUUUUCCAGGCAAAUCCGGAAAAUCAAGGCUGAGGCGUGAUGACGAGGCACUACGGUGCUGAAGCAACAAAUGCCCUGCUUCCAGGAAAAGCCUCUAAGCAUCAGGUAACAUCAAAUCGUACCCCAAACCGACACAGGUGGUCAGGUAGAGAAUACCAAGGCGCUUGAGAGAACUCGGGUGAAGGAACUAGGCAAAAUGGUGCCGUAACUUCGGGAGAAGGCACGCUGAUAUGUAGGUGAAGUCCCUCGCGGAUGGAGCUGAAAUCAGUCGAAGAUACCAGCUGGCUGCAACUGUUUAUUAAAAACACAGCACUGUGCAAACACGAAAGUGGACGUAUACGGUGUGACGCCUGCCCGGUGCCGGAAGGUUAAUUGAUGGGGUUAGCGCAAGCGAAGCUCUUGAUCGAAGCCCCGGUAAACGGCGGCCGUAACUAUAACGGUCCUAAGGUAGCGAAAUUCCUUGUCGGGUAAGUUCCGACCUGCACGAAUGGCGUAAUGAUGGCCAGGCUGUCUCCACCCGAGACUCAGUGAAAUUGAACUCGCUGUGAAGAUGCAGUGUACCCGCGGCAAGACGGAAAGACCCCGUGAACCUUUACUAUAGCUUGACACUGAACAUUGAGCCUUGAUGUGUAGGAUAGGUGGGAGGCUUUGAAGUGUGG